GUCAUCAGGUAGAGUUUUUAUUACCUGACGUAUCAUAACACCACAGUCAGACUACACCGACUUUUCGGGACUGCAGAAGACAAAACAGGAAGUAGUUGGUUGUCGUUACUGUUUACUGUUUUUGACAAUCCCGAAUGCAAUCACAUUCCAACCUCCGUCAUCCUGUCUUUCAUAGACCUUACGCUGGCACCAUCUAUUUGAAAUGAAGAGGAAGGGAGUCGUGCUACGCAGUCUCUCAGUGUGAGUGAGUGAUUUGCCCGGUGAAGGAACGGAGGAGGGGAAGGAAAGGGGGAUAAUACCGCUAAUGUUUGUUUCCCGUCGGUGAUGUGCCCAUAGACACACUUUGAUCGAUCGCUCUCUCUUCCUCUUCCUCUCUCUCUCUCUCUCCAAUCCAUCAAACACGCACACAAUCCAUGAACAAGUUUUAAGGCCCUAGCGGGUGCGCGCGGGCACAAAGACACACACACACACACACACACACACACACACACACACACACACACACACACACAGCCUAUCUGUCUGAAGUUUGUUCAGUCAACAUAUGUGCCAAAUAAAUAAACCACCCUAGUCCUAGUAUAGAAGACUACAUUUCCUGUCUGGUUAAGCAGUGAAAACGUGGAUAUCUUACCAGUCAAUUACUUGCACUUCCUUCUGUUCUGUCAAAGCUUCAGCCCCAGAUCCUCCUGCAAUCGUUUCAGGUUUCGGUUCUCUCUCUCCCCUUCUGGCUUUAUCUCAAUCUUUCUCUCAUCUGUGUCAGUCAGUCUGUGUCUGAGUGUUUCAUCAGGGUGGUCUCUAAGGGCCUCGGGUCCAUUGGUUUACAGAGCACCUGGGAGAGACCAGAGAGAGACUGUAUGAGACUGAAGCUGGUUCUAAUGGAACAGAUUAAGAUGAAGUUAACACACACCUGCUUUUAAUCUUAAAACAGGUUAUUAAACUCAAAUGAAUGUACAUUUUCAGAGUAAUACACUAUCCCUUCCCUAGAAUACACAAGGCAAACAGAAAGUGUUGGUCUGUAGCUCACUGGCGCACUGCAGUGGAAGCUCUUGGAACUGCACCUGUUUACCAGCCCGGUGCAGUUUUGGAUGGGUGGAUGGACUUACGAAAUGUCCUACAACUCUAUAGCGGGGGACUACUUCUCUCUGCUCUAACCUGCUCUGCAGCUCACACACCGACACGCACACACACACACACCCAUACAAACACUUGCCCACACCUGCACACAUAUACUGUACAUACUGUACACAAAAGCAAAUAGUCCAUCUCUGGGGAGUGUUUUCACUGCACAUGUGUUCUUGUAGUGUGUGUCUCAUGGGGGUCUAGUUUGGUUGUUGGUGGUCUAGUGGAACGCCCAGUAUGUUACCCCUGCUAUGUAUAAUGGGUGAGCCUUAACCUUUUGUCGUGUUACAGGAAAAACAGCUGUGCAGUAGUCGUUGUUCUGCCACUGUGGGGACUAUACACCCCGGGAAAAGAUGCUGCUGUGUUUGUAGGCAUCUCACCUGACAAGCCUGCUGUCAUCGUUCCCUGUCACUCCCAUCGCUCAGGCUGACACGCACAAUGUAAUCUGCCUGUUAUUCAUGUGAGACAGGCCUCUGAACAACAAAGGCACAGUAAUCCCGGUAGCAUUUAUUUUAUUUUUUUAGAACAAUGAAAGUAUGCCUCUGCAAACUCAGUAUAAUAUGUUGAGAUAUUUCAAAGAAUGCUUUCAUGCUUUGAAGGGGCUCCCGAGUGGCGCAGCGGGCUAAGGAACUGUGUCUCGGUGCUUGAGGUGUCACUACAGACACCCUACUUCGAUUCCAGGCUGGAUCAUAACUGGCCGUGAUUGGGAGUCCCGCAGGGCGGCGACACAAUUGGCCCAGUGUCGUCCGGGGUUUGGCCGAGUCCUGAUUGACUACUGCAGCUGUGGCUGUGCUUCUGGCUGUGGUCGGACAGGCAGACACAGACAGACAGGCAGACCAGGGGAACCCAACCACACACAGAGAUUUGAGCGGAGAUGCAGAGAAGCAUAUUUUGUUUCUUAACAACAACAAA